AUUGAACGCUGGCGGCAGGCCUAACACAUGCAAGUCGAGCGGAUGAAGGGAGCUUGCUCCUGGAUUCAGCGGCGGACGGGUGAGUAAUGCCUAGGAAUCUGCCUGGUAGUGGGGGAUAACGUCCGGAAACGGGCGCUAAUACCGCAUACGUCCUGAGGGAGAAAGUGGGGGAUCUUCGGACCUCACGCUAUCAGAUGAGCCUAGGUCGGAGUAGCUAGUUGGUGGGGUAAAGGCCUACCAAGGCGACGAUCCGUAACUGGUCUGAGAGGAUGAUCAGUCACACUGGAACUGAGACACGGUCCAGACUCCUACGGGAGGCAGCAGUGGGGAAUAUUGGGCAAUGGGCGAAAGCCUGAUCCAGCCAUGCCGCGUGUGUGAAGAAGGUCUUCGGAUUGUAAAGCACUUUAAGUUGGGAGGAAGGGCAGUAAGUUAAUACCUUGCUGUUUUGACGUUACCAACAGAAUAAGCACCGGCUAACUUCGUG
rnacentral:rRNA from 1 species